rnacentral:rRNA from 1 species
CGGUGGAGGAUGUGGCUUAAUUCGAGGCUACGCGAAGAACCUUACCUAGUCUUGACAUGUACGGAUUAACCCGGUGAAAGCGGCCCCGAACGGACAGGUGUGACGAGCGAAACCCUUGUCACUAGUUGCCAGCGGGAUGUCAAGUCUCAUGGCCUUUAUGACUAGGCUGCAUACAUGGCGCGCACAAGGGAUGCAAACUCGCGAGAGCAAGCAUCCCAAAAAACGCGCCCCAGUUCGGAUUGCAGUGCAACUCGCCUGCAUGAAGCCGGAAUCGCUAGUAAUCGGGGUCAGCAUACCGCGGUGAAUGUGUUCCCGAGCCUUGUACACACCGCCGUCAAGCCACGAAAGUGGGGGGUAUCCGAAGUCGCCGUGCUAACCGUAAGGAAGCAAGCGCCGAAGUAAACUCCGCGAUUGGGACUAAGUCGUACAAGGU